rnacentral:rRNA from 1 species
CGGCCGCGGUAUCCUAACCGUGCGAAGGUAGCGUAAUCACUUGUUCUUUAAAUGUGGACUAGUAUGAAUGGCACCACGAAGGUUAUACUGUCUCCUUUUUCCAAUCAGUGAAACUAAUCUCCCCGUGAAGAAGCGGGGAUAAAACUAUAAGACGAGAAGACCCUAUGGAGCUUUAAACAAUAUAGCACUUGCCACAAAAGUAAAAAUUUCCUAAUUACUAAAUUUUCAAAGCAACAUGACUAUGAGUUUUUGGUUGGGGUGACCGCGGAGCAUAAUACAACCUCCAUGCUGGAAGAAUCUUUUUCUAAGCUAAGAACUACUCAUCUAAGCAUCAACAUAUUGACAUCCAUUGACCCAAUAUACUUGAACAACGAACCAAGUUACCCUAGGGAUAACAGCGCAAUCCACUUCAAGAGCUCCUAUCGACAAGUGGGUUUACGACCUCGAUGUUGGAUCAGGGUUCCCCAGUGGU